rnacentral:rRNA from 1 species
UACGGGGGGAGCAAGCGUUGUUCGGAUUUACUGGGCGUAAAGGGCGCGUAGGCGGCCACCGCAAGUCGGUUGUGAAAUCUCUGGGCUUAACCCAGAAAGGUCAACCGAUACUGCGGGGCUAGAGUGCAGAAGGGGCAACUGGAAUUCUCGGUGUAGCGGUGAAAUGCGUAGAUAUCGAGAGGAACACCUGCGGCGAAGGCGGGUUGCUGGGCUGACACUGACGCUGAGGCGCGAAAGCUAGGGGAGCAAACGGG